rnacentral:rRNA from 1 species
UACGAAGGGGGCUAGCGUUGCUCGAAAUCACUGGGCGUAAAGGGUGCGUAGGCGGGUCUUUAAGUCAGGGGUGAAAUCCUGGAGCUCAACUCCAGAACUGCCUUUGAUACUGAGGAUCUUGAGUUCGGGAGAGGUGAGUGGAACUGCGAGUGUAGAGGUGAAAUUCGUAGAUAUUCGCAAGAACACCAGUGGCGAAGGCGGCUCACUGGCCCGAUACUGACGCUGAGGCGCGAAAGCGUGGGGAGCAAACAGG